AGAUUCGAUGCGAUGUGAGUAGCUGUAGCAAACUGAGACUCCACCACUGUGAGCUUUGAGGUACUGUGACCCCCACCAAAUGAAGAUGACUCCUGUCCCUACGGUCACGUAUUUGGAAGGGGGCUGGAACACUUGUUUUAUCCAAUUGUCUAGCAGGCUGCAUUCUGAUUUGUUUGGGGCAUUAGUGGUGCUCCCUGAAUGACUUAUUUCUAGUCUCUGAUCUCAGAGCUCUGAAAAUUUAUCUAUCUGUACUUCCCUUAGGAUUCCUGUCAGUCCCUUGGCUUGUGAAGAACAAAGGCUUUACAAUGGCCUCCUGCUGUAUUUGCUUCAGCAUUAUGAGUUGCUUUUUGUUGAUGUGAACCCUUGUUUCUCACCAAGACAAGCAGAUGGCCUCCAGGAAAUGACUUGAGAGACAUGUAGUAGUAAGGCCUGCAGUCUCAUACUACAUCGUGAAGUUACCACGCAUCCUGGCAGGUCACGCCUAGAUGAUUGGAAGGGUAACAGAUCACGUCAAGUAUUAUUGAAUAGAUUUAAAUUGUAUGUAAUUGAAGCUCACGAUUCUAAUGUUUGUGACUCCUUUCUUUUUGGCUUCCUUCUUAAUUGUCUGCGUUAAGGAAAAGUCAGCAGACUUUUAUAGUGCUAAGUCAGUUCAUAUGCGGAGCAUGUUCUAUAUCUGCAAGGAGAAUAUUGGGACUGUCAUUCUUCUUGGAAUACCUCUCUCAAAAAAAAAAAAAAAAAAAUCCUGAAAAAUUCUGUAUAAUCGUAGGUACAGAGAACAGAAGGCACCAAUGCAAGGAUGUUUAUAAAAUGAUUCCAAAUCCAAAACCCUAGUCAACUCACGUAGAUGGCACUGAAGCACACACUUCUACCUUUCAUCAUACUCUCCUAUGUCACUGCUAUCUUUGAGAAUCCCUGAAACAUGUACUCAAAUGAGUGUGCAAGACCAUCCAACUGUAUCUGCUUCUGCUCACAGUAACUAUGUAUUCUUACAGUAGCAAGAGGAAAUUGGAAAGGUAUUGAAAAAGUCAAGAGACUUGGCAUUCUAUUUCAGUGACUUUGUUUUAGAAGGAACUUCACUCCCUGUAAUUCUGCAAAAUGUCACAGUCUGUCUGGGCUUGUGGUGAUGUGGUAAAGAAUCUUGCUGAAAAAAAGUCCUUUCAAGUUCUUUAAUAAAAGCCCAGACGAUGCAUAGCCAUGAGGCACUCUCCUGCUCUGAGGUAAGCUUAUGGAAGAAAUCCCAUUCGUGGUGAGAAGCGAAUUCAGAAUUCUGUUGUUGAUCUUGUUUUUGUAAUUUCUGGCAGGAAAUCUUGUGUAUUGGAUAGGUACCCUUCAUCUCUCAUAAUAUAACAAUUGCUGAAAGUCCACUGCAUGAGAAACAUGAAAGUUAGGUUUACAAAGUAAACAUAUUCAACGUGCAUGAACUAGUUCCAGCAAAGCAAGCAAAAAGUAAAACAGCAAACGUGGCUCAGAUCCCUUAUUGCUUCCUGGAAAUGAAGCUUGCUUUUAUUGGCUGUUUCUCUUGAAGUAACUUGAAACAAUUACACUGAUGUCUGCAUUUUCAGCUAUUUAAUUUGAGGGAUCUUUUUAUUGUUGUUGGGGUGUGCUUUUUGUAGAAGAUUGCACCAUAGAAGCUAAUUAAAUUCUGUAUCAAACCUUGCUAGUAGUGAUUUGUCAUGCUCUUUGUCAUCAUCAUUUCCAAAUCUCAUGUUCUGGAUUAAGAAAUGACUGGAUUUUUUUAUUUAUUUAUUUCGCAUCAAGUUCUAGAGUGCUUUUUCAUAUCUCAUCUCUCUACUGAAGCAUGAUAGAUCAAUCCUGUCUGAAUUAAGCAAUCAGAAGCAUGACUUUUUGGAUGUGUGCAUACCACUACAUCCCAUCCUUCAGUUAAUUAGAAGAAAAGCUAGCACUCUGAGGAAAUAACUCUCAUUUCUUGUUUUCUCUUCUUCCUAUGUCCUUUUAUGUAUGCUUCUCUUCUUAUCAGCAAGGCUGCAGAGACUAUGUAGUUACUCCACUCUGCCAUAGUGGAGCCCUACCGAAUAGAG
rnacentral:lncRNA from 1 species